UUAUGCAAAAUGAAAAGAGUUGGAGGCAAAGACCAGCAACGGGAGAGUUGUAAUUCAGCUUUCUUUGUUAAAAAACAAAGACAAAACAAAACAACAACAACAAAAAAACAAAACAGACAACCCAAAACAGAAAACAACCCGAACACGGAACAGGUUUGUUAACCACCGACAUAAAAGAAUCAAGAAAUACUAGAAAAAAUACAUGGUGGGAGACAUUUUGUUUUACAAGGCAGUUUGAUGGCGUUCCCAUUGGCGGAGCAGUUCGGCCAGCCACUGAACUGCUGUGCCAAUGGGACACAGACACUGUAAAUAGCAUCGACUGUAGAAGUAUUAAGACUUAAAAGAUAUUUACCCCUUAAAAAUAAAUAGAACGUCAUCUACAGCAACAUUUAAAUUAGUAAUUUUUUUUUUCUUUUCUUUUGCAAAGCAACCAAAUGCAACAAAAAGGUAAAACACGGUGUAGAUUUUCUGGAGGUCGAGAUAAUUCUUUCCUGCUUAAAAAUAAAGGACAAAAAUAUGAACUUCAGAAGACAAGUUGCUCGGAAAAGUCAGCUCAUUCUCCAGCAGUGACUCUCACCAUUGUUCCAUGGGUCAGCACCGGGUCCACGUCCCACCACAAUCCCUCUCUGCAGGGCUCUGGGAGGUGCUGACUCUCAGCACAGCUCCCAGGCUGCCCUUCCCCAGCUGCAGAGCGGCUUCAGCAGCUUCCAAAGGCAAAAGCCCAGCAGGGUCUGGCCGUGCUGUGCCUUCCCUUUGGAUGUCUUUGGGAACGAGGCUGUGCACAAGCUGCUGUCCCACCCAGACAGCCAGCGUGUUGUGUAAGGACAACACAAGCUGUUUGCUUCCUUUUGGAUUGUUAUUAAAGCCUCAGAGCACUGUGGCCAUGGCUAAAGGCACAGGCAGCAGCAGACAGAGGAAACCUUCCUGCAGGGCCAGCAGCACCGUACAGCUCUCCCCAUGGUGCUCAGCACACAGAACAAAGCCACUCUGCACCAGCUUCCACCCAACGGGUCUUGAAAGUUUGUGCAAGCAAUGGAGCCCCUUUGAACUCAGUUGUGCACUGAUGGGACUGCUGGAACACAAUGGUUUGUUUACCAGAGCAAGUUCAUGCUCAGGAAGAGGAACCUGA
rnacentral:lncRNA from 1 species